rnacentral:lncRNA from 10 species
CCGGGUGUGUGCCCUGGCUGGACCGAGGGGUUUCCUCCGCUCAGUCGGCAGGGACCCUCGCUGAGGUGCGAGGACACAUGGCUGACUCUGAACUCGCAGCUUCAGGGAAACCUUCCAGCAGUUUCUCCACCGCGGCUCUCACGUUCCCCGUGGCGCAGCUUCUUCGUAUCACCAAUGGCUCGGACACGCGGGCGCCACCCCUCUCUUGCCCUUGUCGUUGUUCUUCCUUUUGUUGGGAAUGUUCUUUCUUCCCUUCCACCUGAGGAUCCCUUGGCUUCCAGGCCCAGUUCAGAUGCCCCCUCUUCUAGGAAGCCUUCCAGAGUCCUCUCUUCUGGGUUUUUACAUAAAAUAUUAAAACUUCCCCAUAGGCCUUUGAAAAAAAUUCAUCUAUUUGAAGUGCAGAGUCACAUUUUUGUGAGGCGAAUGAACUAAUGGGGGUGAGUCUGAUGCAGAGAGGGAACUCGAACCCAGUGUGUCAGACGCCCGUGAUCAGUGUGAUCAGUGAUGGUGGGUGU